rnacentral:rRNA from 1 species
AAGCCAUGCGGCGACGCANAGCGGAACCCGAAAAACCCUGUCUCAGUUCGGAUUGGAGUCUGCAACCCGACUCCAUGAAGCUGGAUUCGCUAGUAAUCGCGCAUCAGCCACGGCGCGGUGAAUACGUUCCCGGGCCUUGUACACACCGCCCGUCAAGCCAUGGAAGCCGGGAGUGCCUGAAGUGCGUGAGCGCAAGCAGCGCCCUAAAGUAAGACCGGUGACUGGGGCUAAGUCGUAACAAGGUAGC